rnacentral:rRNA from 1 species
AUUGAACGCUGGCGGCAGGCCUAACACAUGCAAGUCGAACGAGUGGCGGACGGGUGAGUAAUGUCUGGGAAACUGCCCGAUGGAGGGGGAUAACUACUGGAAACGGUAGCUAAUACCGCAUACCCUCGGAUGUGCCCAGAUGGGAUUAGCUAGUAGGGGGGGUAACGGCGCACCAAGGCGACGAUCCCUCGCUGGUCUGAGAGGAUGACCAGCCACACUGGAAAUGAGACACGGUCCAGACUCCUACGGGAGGCAGAAGUGGGGAAUAUUGCACAAUGGGCGCAAGCCUGAUGAAGCCAGGCCGCGUGUAUGAAGAAGGCCUUCGGGUUGGAAAGUACUUUCAGCGAGGAGGCGUUACUCGCAGAAGAAGCACCGGCUAACUCCGUGCCAGCAGCCGCGGUAAUAC